UACGUAGGGGGCUAGCGUUGUCCGGAUUUAUUGGGCGUAAAGAGCGUGUAGGCGGCCAGGUAGGUCUGGUGUGAAAACUCGAGGCUUAACCUCGAGAUGUCAUCGGAAACCAUCUGGCUAGAGUCCGGAAGAGGAGAGUGGAAUUCCUGGUGUAGUGGUGAAAUGCGCAGAUAUCAGGAAGAACACCAAUGGCGAAAGCAGCUCUCUGGGACGGUACUGACGCUGAGACGCGAAAGCGUGGGGAGCGAACAGG
rnacentral:rRNA from 1 species